GUGCCGGAUUCGAAUACCAAAAACAGUGUUUUGAUCCGGAUUAGUAGCUUUUAAUUAUACCCCACGUGGAAUAUUGGCCGAAGGCAAAUUUGUUACCUAAUUGAAUAUCGAUCGAUCGUAGCCUUUAAAUACUGUGCCCGCCAGCAACAAUAGCACCAACAGAGAGUUGCAUCGGU